AAUAUGAUUCAAUAUGAUGGAGCUACAAGAGCUAGGGCCAGGCCUAAAAUGACCAUAGGAGAUGUUGUGAGGAAUGACAUGCAUAGUCUGGGUCUUGUACCAAGUAUGACCUCGGAUAGAGCCUAUUGGAGGGCAAAGAUCCAUGUUGCCAACCCCAUAUAGCUGAGAUUCCCUGACUUCUUGGGCUGGGCCUCUUUCCUCUUACUUUCAUUUCUCUUUUUCGCACUUCUCAUCUCCCAUGUCUU